CACACAUUUUGGUUAUGGUAUUGUUAACUUCUUUGAAUGUGAGUUACAUUUUUUAUUAUUUUCUUAACGUUUUUCUACUUUACUAAAAUCAGCCGUAUCCUUCUUCUUAGCGUUUAGGGCUGUAACUACUUAAGCGAUCAUUGAUUGCCAGUUAUUUCUUCACUUCUUAAUAUGGCAUCAAUUUGAAAAUUCAAAUAAAAACUAAAUCACUUUCAUUUGGUCCUCUCUGUCUUUUUUGUUAUCAGCUGGUCCAACAUUGAAGAGUUUCAUAGUUCAGCAGCCAUUCAAACCACAUGAUCUUAAAGUGGGGUAUGUGGAUGCCGUUAUAAAUGUCGUCCAAUCAUAAAAAUUGUAGCAAAACCUCCUAAAGAAACUAUAAUUACUCCGAACUGCAAUAUUUUUAUAACAGCGCUACCCAUUAUAUGCUUUCUGAACAUAAAAGUGACCACAACUUAUGUUAAUAUGAAUAAUUAUUUGGUGGAAACAUUUUAGAAGACGUAAUGAAGACUGCGACCUCUUGCUAGAACGGUACAGAGAUUCGACGCUUUAACCAUUUCCGUCCACUGAAAUAGUUCAACGUACUAUUUACUGCGUCGCCGAAUUAAAUGCCGGCUGUGAAAAGGAAGAAAAAAGAUUAGAAAAAAUUGCCAUUUAAAAUAUUCAACACGUGCGAAUAACAGUGUGUUUUGCACUUUGAACCAAACUUGCAACCAUGAACACUUCUGCUGAUACCUAAGCAUUUGAGCGCGUGCCUUUAAGCCUAUUUUUAUGCUGAUUGUCGUCACAUCAAUGGCCAAUAUUUUUUAUAAAUAUAUAUAUGAAAGUAUGCAAGUGGCACAGGGCAGAUGCGAUUUUAUGUUAAUCGUAACCGAACACGCACUCAUAGCGCAAAGCGGACGGACAGAUAUGCAGACGAACCGCGUGCCGGUUUGCGCGUAAAUGUCGACGCACUUCGUCAUUUCAACGCCUCCUUUAUGGGGCUCUGAAGAAGGGCCACACGCAAGCACAACAGAUAUGGACAAACACUUGCGCGUUCGCGCUUAACAACAAUCAAUGCCCCGGGGACAUUUAAAGUUUAAAAAUGAAAAUCACCAAAACGACGCGCUUGACUUGGCGUCUGUGGCGAGCGCGAUGACUGGUGACCGGUCUCAGUGGAGGCAAAAUAAAGCUAAAAACAACACAGUAACAACAAGGCGUCAUCGCACCACAGGAGUGAAAAUAAUCAAUUCAAUUAAAUCGCGCUACUAAAAGGCGACGCGUCAGCUGCGCGGCCGCCGCCGCCACCAUGACCGCGACCGUUGCGGUAGUCAAAGCUGAGGAAACGCAUAAAAUAUGCGAUAUUACAUGCGACAUACCGCAGCAAAACAACCAUGAGUAGUUACAACAACAGCAGCAGCAACAAUAACAAUAAAAACAAAAAUGUUGACUCUGUGUCGCUAUGUAGGAGGUACAAUCGGCCGCAGAGAUUAUGACCAAAUGACAGUGAAUGGCGGGCGAUAGCAACUGCGAUUGCGAUUGCGAAGGUGAUGGCGAUGGCGAUGACGAUGGCAUAGCCGUUGACGGCGCGGUUGCGGGUACAUAUGCGAACGCGUACGCCAAUGCGAAAGUGAAUGUGAACGCGGAUGAUGAGGUUGGUGCUGGCGAUGGCGAUGACGAUGCUGAUAGUGGCGGCAGAAAAGCCAAUGGCGCGUUGUUUUGCUGUUAUUGCUGCCGUUAUGCCGCCUUUACGGGAAUGGUCUUGGCGCUGUUACCAGCCAGCGAGUGACGUAGAGCUAUGGCGUUGCGGUAAUAUGGCAGCUGAUAGUGUUGCAUAUGAUAACUGCCGCCGCAUCGCAGGACUGUUGCUAGGUUGCCAUUGAGUGGGACGUUUGCGCCUUUUACCACCUCAAAUAAUGAGUGCAGCGCGUGCGUGUGGUAGCCUUGGCGUGGCGGCAGUUGAUUAUGGCAGCCGUGGCAGGCUGGCAAAGUCACCAAAAGCUCAUGAAAUAUUCAUUAAAAAUUUAUAGCGUGGCGUUUGGCGCAUAAACGUUCAGAUUCUUUUUCCUCUUUUUUUUUGUUUUUGCAAUUUUUUUGCAAAUAAAAUUGGAGUUCAGGCGCAACCGGAAAAUAUUAAAACCCCUUAAAAUGUACCAAAUUGUAAUAAUAAAACAAAGUGUUUGGUGUUUAAGAAAAAGCCAUAAAUGUUUGCUAUCAUGUCACGCCGUUGUUGCUCAUUUCGGUUGUUGUUGUUAUUCGUCGUAUUAAAAGGCAAUUUGUUUCAUCCAGAAGGUGCAGUCACUGAGUGCCCCUCUGUGGUGGCAUUGUGGAAGGUUAAGUUUUAUCAAGUCUUUAAAGUAUUUAGUUAUUUAACUUAUCUCACAGUAUAUUUUCAGUGCGAUUUUGUGGUCAGUUUUAUGGUUCAUUAGUCGUCGUAAUUUUUUCUAAAUACCUAUGGUUGCCACUCUUCACCGUCAAUAUUAAAUUAAAUGGCAAACACCCCGCAGAAACAUAUUCAAG